rnacentral:rRNA from 1 species
GUGAGGAAUAUUGGUCAAUGGGCGGGAGCCUGAACCAGCCAAGUCGCGUGAAGGAAGAAGGAUCUAUGGUUCGUAAACUUCUUUUGCAGGGGAAUAAAGUGCAGGACGUGUCCUGUUUUGUAUGUACCCUGAGAAUAAGGAUCGGCUAACUCCGUGCCAGCAGCCGCGGUAAUACGGAGGAUCCGAGCGUUAUCCGGAUUUAUUGGGUUUAAAGGGUGCGUAGGUGGUUUGAUAAGUCAGCGGUGAAAGUUUGCAGCUUAACUGUAAAAAUGCCGUUGAAACUGUCGGACUUGAGUGUAAAUGAGGUAGGCGGAAUGCGUGGUGUAGCGGUGAAAUGCAUAGAUAUCACGCAGAACUCCGAUUGCGAAGGCAGCUUACUAAGCUACAACUGACACUGAAGCACGAAAGCGUGGGGAUCAAACAGGAUUAGAAACCUCGGUAGUCC